rnacentral:rRNA from 1 species
GACGAACGCUGGCGGCGUGCUUAACACAUGCAAGUCGAACGGAAAGGCCCUGCUUUUGUGGGGUGCUCGAGUGGCGAACGGGUGAGUAACACGUGAGUAACCUGCCCUUGACUUUGGGAUAACUUCAGGAAACUGGGGCUAAUACCGGAUAGGAGCUCCUGCUGCAUGGUGGGGGUUGGAAAGUUUCGGCGGUUGGGGAUGGACUCGCGGCUUAUCAGCUUGUUGGUGGGGUAGUGGCUUACCAAGGCUUUGACGGGUAGCCGGCCUGAGAGGGUGACCGGCCACAUUGGGACUGAGAUACGGCCCAGACUCCUACGGGAGGCAGCAGUGGGGAAUAUUGCACAAUGGGCGGAAGCCUGAUGCAGCAACGCCGCGUGCGGGAUGACGGCCUUCGGGUUGUAACCCGCUUUCGCCUGUGACGAAGCGUGAGUGACGGUAAUGGGUAAAGAAGCACCGGCUAACUACGUGCCAGCAGCCGCGGUGAUACGUAGGGUGCGAGCGUUGUCCGGAUUUAUUGGGCGUAAAGGGCUCGUAGGUGGUUGAUCGCGUCGGAAGUGUAAUCUUGGGGCUUAACCCUGAGCGUGCUUUCGAUACGGGUUGACUUGAGGAAGGUAGGGGAGAAUGGAAUUCCUGGUGGAGCGGUGGAAUGCGCAGAUAUCAGGAGGAACACCAGUGGCGAAGGCGGUUCUCUGGGCCUUUCCUGACGCUGAGGAGCGAAAGCGUGGGGAGCGAACAGGCUUAGAUACCCUGGUAGUCCACGCUGUAAACGGUGGGUACUAGGUGUGGGGUCCAUUCCACGGGUUCCGUGCCGUAGCUAACGCCUUAAGUACCCCGCCUGGGGAGUACGGCCGCAAGGCUAAAACUCAAAGGAAUUGACGGGGCCCCGCACAAGCGGCGGAGCAUGCGGAUUAAUUCGAUGCAACGCGUAGAACCUUACCUGGGUUUGACAUGGAUCGGGAGUGCUCAGAGAUGGGUGUGCCUCUUUUGGGGUCGGUUCACAGGUGGUGCAUGGCUGUCGUCAGCUCGUGUCGUGAGAUGUUGGGUUAAGUCCCGCAACGAGCGCAACCCUUGUUCACUGUUGCCAGCACGUUAUGGUGGGGACUCAGUGGAGACCGCCGGGGUCAACUCGGAGGAAGGUGGGGAUGACGUCAAGUCAUCAUGCCCCUUAUGUCCAGGGCUUCACGCAUGCUACAAUGGCUGGUACAGAGAGUGGCGAGCCUGUGAGGGUGAGCGAAUCUCGGAAAGCCGGUCUCAGUUCGGAUUGGGGUCUGCAACUCGACCUCAUGAAGUCGGAGUCGCUAGUAAUCGCAGAUCAGCAACGCUGCGGUGAAUACGUUCCCGGGGCU